UACGGAGGGGGCUAGCGUUGUUCGGAAUUACUGGGCGUAAAGCGCACGUAGGCGGACCAGAAAGUUAGGGGUGAAAUCCCGGGGCUCAACCUCGGAACUGCCUCUAAAACUCCUGGUCUUGAGUUCGAGAGAGGUGAGUGGAAUUCCGAGUGUAGAGGUGAAAUUCGUAGAUAUUCGGAGGAACACCAGUGGCGAAGGCGGCUCACUGGCUCGAUACUGACGCUGAGGUGCGAAAGCGUGGGGAGCAAACAGG
rnacentral:rRNA from 1 species